AUGGUAUGUGUAGUGUGUGUGCUGUGUGUGUGGGGUGUGGGGGGUGUGUGGAGCAUGUGUGUGUGGUGUGUCUAUGGUGUGUGUGUAUGUGUGGUGUGUGUAUGUGGGGUGUGUGUGUGGUGUGUAUGUGUGGUGUGUGGUGUGUGUGUGGUGUAUAGUAUGUGUGUGUGUGGUGUGUGGGGUAUGUUUGUGUGUAUGGUGUGUGUGUGGGGUGUAUGGAGUAUGUGUGUGUGGUGUGUGGGGUGUAUGGAGUAUGUGUGUGUAGUGUGUAUGUGUGGUGUGUGGUGUGUGUGUGGUGUGUGUGUGUGGGGUGUGGGUGUGUGUGUGUGUGGUGUGGGGGGUGUGUGUGUGUGGUGUGGGGUGUGUGUGUGUGUGGGGUGUGGGUGUGUGUGGUGUGUAUGUGUGGUGUGGGUGGUGUGUGUGUGUGGGGUGUGUGGGGUGUGGGUGUGUGUGGUGUGUGUGUGUGGGGUGUGUGGGGUGUGGGUGUGUGUGGUGUGUAUGUGUGGUGUGUGUGUGUGGGAUGUGUGUGUGUGGUGUGUAUGUGUGGGGUGUGUGUGUGUGGUGUGGGGUGUGUGUGUGUGGUGUGGGGGGUGUGUGUGUGUGUGUGGGGUGUGGGUGUGUGUGGUGUGUAUGUGUGGUGUGGGUGGUGUGUGUGUGUGGGGUGUGUGGGGUGUGGGUGUGUGUGGUGUGUAUGUGUGGUGUGGGUGGUGUGUGUGUGUGGGGUGUGUGGGGUGUGGGUGUGUGUGGUGUGUGUGUGUGGGAUGUGUGUGUGUGGUGUGUGUGUGUGGGAUGUGUGUGUGUGGUGUGUAUGUGUGGGGUGUGUGUGUGUGUGGUGUGGGGUGUGUGUGUGUGGUGUGGGGGGUGUGUGUGUGUGUGUGGGGUGUGGGUGUGUGUGGUGUAUAUGUGUGGUGUGGGUGGUGUGUGUGUGUGGGGUGUGUGGGGUGUGGGUGUGUGUGGUGUGUAUGUGUGGUGUGGGUGGUGUGUGUGUGUGGGGUGUGUGGGGUGUGGGUGUGUGUGGUGUGUAUGUGUGGUGUGUGUGUGUGGGAUGUGUGUGUGUGUGGUGUGUAUGUGUGGGGUGUGUGUGUGUGGUGUGGGGUGUGUGUGUGUAUGUGUGUGGUGUGGGGUGUGUGUGUGUGUGUGUGUGUGGUAUCCAUCCCAGGCAAGGAGCCUAUGGACACAAAGCUCCAUCAGGUACUUGCAAGGCCCACCUGGCUGUCAGGACCCCCCCCGCCCACCUGA
rnacentral:lncRNA from 1 species